CACCCGCCCAGCGCGGCCGGGAGGGAGGGAGGGCGGCGCGCGUUCCCGGGUGCCUCGCGGUGCGCGUUCCCGCGCGGGCAACGCCCUUCGCCCCCUUACGCUGGCGGCGGCCGCGCGCUUGCCGCCUCCCGCCCUCUUCCCUCGGCGAACAAAGGGCGCAGGCGGGCGGUCGUCCCGCCGGCCCUGCAGGCUGAAAACAAGUCUGAAAGAGCCGCAUGGGAACAAAAAGACAUGAAACUGAACCCACAAAUGGUGUUUAAGCUCAGGGCUGGGAGAAGCAGAGCCUCCGCACCACGUUAAAUGUGAGCGCUCCGGGCUGCAGAGGAGGAAAGAGGCCACAGGCCUUAAAAUGCUGCUCACAAGAGGCUUGCAAUCGAUAAAUACCUUCAUAUAGUGUUGAGGAGAGGCUUUAGGAGCUGGGCCUGGUUAGUCUGGAAAGGGAAGACUGAGGAGGGAUUUCAUUAACGAAUAAAAAUUUUUCUAAGGCGUGUCAGAGGAUGGUGCCAGACUCCUCAACGAUGCCCAGCGACAGGACGAGGAGCAAUGACUGUAAAUUAAACCAAGAGUUCUGCCUCAACACGAGGAAGAGCUUCUUUCCAUGAGGGUAGCAGGGAGCAGCUGCACAAGGAGAGCAUGGAGUCUCCCUUUCUAGAGCCAUCCCAAAUUCAUAUCCACACUAUUCCUAUUUCAUCUGCUCCAGGUGACUACUUUAGCCAGGGUGAUCUGCAGAGGGCCCUUCCACCCCUAACAAAUCUGUGAUUCUUCUGUGAUCUUUCCCUCAGGAAUUGACAAGUAGCAAUUGUGUAGUUUAGAACUUCUUUUUUCCAGCUUUACUUAAAAAGGUAGUCAGGCAAAGUUUCCAGAGCAUUCUUUUGAUAUUCUCCUCACAGCAUCCAUGACUGCUCUGGAAGCGUUAGCAUGAAAGAGAAAGUAGUGGAAAAAAAUAGUAAGCAUAAAAAUUGCAAUUGCUGUCUUGCAGACGGGACCUCAUGUAAACCAGGCAGGAGAGAUAUUACCAAAAUGGAAUCAUUUUCCACUAGAACUCAUAUACUGAAACCCCAAUUAAUUUUGAAAAGUCUGUGCUCUGCCAAGUGUUCAAAUCUAUGGAAUUUGGGUAAGGAAACAGGAUCAGUCAGAAGUAUUUAUGGCACAUUUACACACAGCCAAUGCUUUCACCGCACCUAUUCUUUUGUAAAAAUACAACUGUUGCAAUAGUUCCUGUUUCUGACGCAGUGACUUAAUUAUAUAUUAUUCUUCAGUGAGAAGUUUGAUUGAUGUACAGUUACGCUGCUAUUAUGGGGAGGGAUCCUGAGGAUUGAGAAUGGUUGUUUACAGAGGGGAGGUUGUUCCAGGUGGGGUGGGUGGGCUUUGGUUUGGUUUGUAAAUCUCACUUGACAAAGUUUUGCUGCAUUUUAAAACCUGUCAGAAGAAUCCUACAUUGCUGUGUGCCACAAUGUGGUUUAUUCUGCUGUCCUUGUAGAAUCCUGUGCCGGAAGCUGCUGUAUAGGCAUUUUCUUAUUUUUUUAAAUUUCUUUUUAAUUUUUAAUCUUAAUUUUUCACAAGAUCCAUGAACUGCCACAGUUUGUACUGUUCACUGGAUGAAUACGCAAGUCACCAGAAUUAAGUGGACUUACCAGAUAUAAGUUCAUCUGUUUCUAUACACUGCAAAAAUACUGUUUGUAACUAAAAGUUUAGCUGAAAAUACCUGUGAAUACUUGAAGAUCUGGUAUAGAUAAUUAAUAAACCAAAUUUUAAUGUUA